CACUGCUAGGGUAAUAGUAGUAAUAAUAAAAUGGUUUUAAUCAGAUGGACUGAUCUUUCAGGUCUAGGAAAUAGGGUGGGGGAAGUUCAGGGGAAAGAUAAAUUCAGGGUCGGUUUCAUAAAUCAGGCUAUGCAUCUAAAGUAAGAGAGAAAGGUUAAUGCAGAACAUGACCAGAAGGACUUUGGUGAGAAUCAGGUUCUGGUCACCUGAUCAAAGUAGAGUGCAAGACUUCCUUUCCAACGGGCACCAGAGAUUUGAGGCCGUAGAAAUAUGGGAGAGAACAGGGAAUGGACUAAGUGAGUAAGUCAACCACAUCUACUCCUUGUCCAGUCUCUUAUGUCACUGUUCUGCGGUUAUACUAGUAGAGCAUUUCCUCAUCUGGGAAGUCUGCAACUUAAAGUCUGUGGGAAAUGUUCAGUUUAUUCUAACAAGGUAAUUCAUACAGAAAAGGGUCAAGAAAACUGGGAACUAUCAUUCAAAAGCCUCAGACCUCUGCUCUGGGUAUAGAACAGUAGACUAUUACAAACUCUUCUGGUUUGCACAGAAGAAAAAUGUUGACAAAUUGCCCAGCUGCAUUUUCUGUGUUAUAAAAUUGAAGUAGGGGGAGGCAGUCAGCAGAUGCUGGCUAUACAUUGCACUUAGCCUGGGAUGGGGUCAGGACAGCACGGACAGACACUGUUUAAUGGAAAGACCUAUGUCACAAUGCACUGAAUUUCUCACAGCAAGGCUGUAAAUGACAUCAAAAUACAGACAUCUAAGCUGAGACCCUUAGCAUCAUCCUCAAAGCACAAAAUGUUCACGGAGGGAAACCCUGGAAUCUCCCCCUGAAAACCUGUUAAUGUGGCUGAGAGCUCAAAACUGAAUCAUUGAAAACAGUAUAUUUUAUGGACAUAGAGAAAGAUGCUGCUUUUCUCCUGACAAUCUUCAAAGAGGGACCAGGUCAUGAUAAAGCAAAGCUGAAAGUCACUGCAGAGCAGGUCAGCAACCCACAGAGACAAUCUUCCCUAAAUUGGCACUUUAAUGCCUUGGGUUUUAGCAUUCUGGCCUCAGAUGGAAAACCUGUAUGGACUCAGGACUGGAAUUAGAAAAUUUUAAGGUUAGUUUGUUGGAGGAUUUUCUAAGUUAUCUAUCCAAUUCAGUUUCCAGGGAGGUAGUGAAAGGUUACAAAAAUAAAUAAAAAGACGAAGAAGAAAUGCUUUGAAGCCAGAAAUGUUUGAAUUCAAAUCCUGGCUCUACCAUUAGCCAGGUGGAUAACCUUGGAAUUCGACAAAUUACAUAAUGUCCUAGAGGGAUGAAUUUUCAUUUGAGUAUGGUUAUGAUUGCACCCACAUCUGUGAGGAUGACAUGAGAUGUUGCCAGUAUCAUAUUUAGCACAGUGCCUGGCAUAUAGCAGAAAACAGGAAAUGCUAACUCUCUUCCCUUUCUCUGUCCAGCUUUCUAAUACAGUCAGUCCUACUCAUUUAGUUUGUUAUCUCUUUCUAGAGAACAAAAGCAAAAGGAAGUUUUGCUGCUAACUGUCUCUAUCAAGUUUUUCUACAUUGAAGACAAACUGUGUAUGUGAUUUGUUCUCCUCAAAUGAGAUAUUCAGGAAUUCCGGAGCAAGGAAGUUAUUGGCAUUCGUUUAGUGUACCACAAUGCUAGGGCUGAGGCCUCCGGGAUCCUCUGGGCCUUUUUCAUGGUUGAAAAAUGACAGUGGCAGCUUCAUUCCUUGUGCCCAGUUCCAGAGAGGAGGAAUGAGAAAGGAGCAAGAAGAAAAGGCUGACAUCUAUGGGAAGCCAAACUUUUUCAGGAAUCCCCUGCUCAGCACAAUCAUAACUACAUAGAUGAUUACAGUUGUAUGUUCGGAGAAAAAGAGGAGAGAGAAGACUAAGACUCAUAGGAAAGAAUCCUGCUUUUAUUAAUCAUUCAUACAUAUUUUCAUUUAUGUUUUGAAAGCCAACAACAUACCAGGCUGUCUGUUUGGCACUUAAUAUCUUCAGUCUGACCGAUACCAACUUCGGUUUUCUUGUGGAAAAAAUAAGGAUGUGGUAAGUUCAGACCCUUAACAUUCGAGAAAACCAAACAUAAUGAGCUACUGGUAAUCUUCUAGAUAUAAAUCCACCUAUUACCUCUGGAACUAUGACUGACUUUACCUUGUACCUGAAAUUAUCUUCUCUUUUUCAUUGACCAGCUCCUCCUGGGCAUUCAGAAUCCAGCAGGAACACUAUCGCCUCUAUGAACCCCAUACCAGCCCAGGCUAAGUAAGAUGCUGUGGUAGAUUACAUUUUCCAAAGAUGGCUACACCAAGAUAUAUCCUGCCCCACAUAUCCUUCUUAUACCAUGACACUGACACGUCUCCAUCAAGAGAUGAGAUCCUUGUUCCCCUACCUUGACCUGGGUGGACCUUUGUAACUGCCUCAAACAACAGUGUGACAGAAGUGCAUGACCUCUCAGAUGUAUUUGUCGGGGUUUUCCAGAGAAACAGAAUCAAUAGGAUGUAUGCGUGUGUAUGCAUGUGUGUGCGUGUGUGUGUGUGUAGAGA
rnacentral:lncRNA from 1 species